GAUUCCAUGGUGUAGUGGUUAUCACGUUUGUCUUACACACAAAAGGUCCUGGGAUCGACCCCCAGUGGAAUCA